rnacentral:rRNA from 1 species
UACAGAGGUCUCAAGCGUUGUUCGGAUUCAUUGGGCGUAAAGGGUGCGUAGGUGGUGACGCAAGUCUGGUGUGAAAUCUCGGAGCUCAACUCCGAAAUUGCACCGGAUACUGCGUGACUCGAGGACUGUAGAGGAGAUCGGAAUUCACGGUGUAGCAGUGAAAUGCGUAGAUAUCGUGAGGAAGACCAGUUGCGAAGGCGGAUCUCUAGGCAGUUCCUGACACUGAGGCACGAAGGCCAGGGGAGCAAACGGG